UCUCCGUUGCCGGAGCAGUUCGAAAAGACACUUGUAACUUUUCGUAGGGGUUGCGCUCGUUACUCCACUUAAGGAAACACUUCACAGCACGAGCUGACGACAGCCAUGCAACACCUGUCUCGCGGUUCCAGCAAGCUGGCACUUUCUUGUUUCCAAAAAAUUCCGCGGAUGUCAAGACUUGGUAAGGUUCUUCGCGUACCGUCGAAUUAAACCACAUGUUCCACCGCUUGUGCGGGCCCCCGCCUAUUCUUUUGAGUUUUAGCCUUGCGGCCGUAGUCCCCAGGCGGCUUGCUUAACGCGUUAGCUUCGCUUCUCAGAGGGUCGAUACUCUAAAAAGCCAGCAAGCAUCGUUUACGGCGUGGACUAC
rnacentral:misc_RNA from 1 species